AAGAACUUUGAAAAGAGAGUGAAAUAGUGCUUGAAACCGUUGGGAGGAAAGCGAAUGGAGCUGCUAUAUAGACCAAGAAUUCUCAAACCGGCCAAAUUUUAGGAACCCGUUGUAGUGAUCUUGGAUCUACGUUUGCAAAAACUUUUUGUCCUGGCGGUUCAUAACUUUAGAGUUAAUUUACUUAACGUUAUGUAAUGUGUAAACAUUCGAAUGUUAUGCAAAAAUAAAUCUUCUGUGAUGUGACCAGAGACAAAGGUUGAACAAGUCUACAAUGAAAUAAUUUGAUAGACUAAAAAAAUUUUAAAAUAAAAAGCAGACGGAAGGGCUUUAUUCGACCCGUCUUGAAACACGGACCAAGGAGUCUA
rnacentral:rRNA from 1 species